rnacentral:rRNA from 1 species
GAUGAACGCUGACAGAAUGCUUAACACAUGCAAGUCGAUGGGGAAGUGGUGCUUGCACCCUGGCAACCAUGGCGGACGGGUGAGUAACGCGUAAGGGACUUACCUGCAGGACUGGGAUAACAGGGGGAAACUCCUGACAAGACCGGAUAAUGUCAUGGAGCUGCAUGGCUUUAUGAUGAAAGGAGACGCCUGCGGAGAGCCUUGCGUCCUAUUAGCUAGUUGGUGAGGUAAUGGCUCACCAAGGCGAAGAUAGGUAGCCGGCCUGAGAGGGUGGACGGCCACAAGGGGACUGAGAUACAGCCCUUACUCCUACGGGAGGCAGCAGUGGGGAAUAUUGGACAAUGGGGGCAACCCUGAUCCAGCAAUUCUGUGUGCACGAAGAAGGUUUUCGGAUUGUAAAGUGCUUUCAGCAGGGAAGAAGUAAGUGACGGUACCUGCAGAAGAAGCGACGGCUAAAUACGUG